rnacentral:lncRNA from 1 species
GAUUCAUAGUUGCUAAAGCUAGAGGGAGAUAUUCGAUAGCCUGGUAGGAGUAGUCCCACCUGUUGAAGCAUUUCAUGUCUUUGUUGUUGUUCUUACCGCAUAAAUAACAGGUACUGAUUGAGUCUUUCUCGAUUGACUUUGCAACAUUCCCAUUCUAGAUAGUGGUUCCUUGUCUAGCAGGUUUAAAAUCUCUUCCCCUGGAGUUGAAGUUCCCUCUCUUUUGAUUGUAAUUCCACCGACUUCUACCACUUUGUGUAGUAAAGGCCAUUUUAUGAUUGUGCUGAGUUAAGUCUUCCUCUUUAUCCCUCAUGUCAAUUAUUAGAGAGAGUUAACAAAUUGAUUUAGGGAAGGAUAAGAUGUUUUCCCUAUAUCAAAGUUUUGAAAGUUCUGUAUUUUGGACCUAAUCCUCUUGCAAAGUUAAUCACAUUAUGGCUUCAAGACCAUAACAAUUUUCCAAAAAUUAUUUCUGAUACUCAUCAAGUUUCUUAGUUCCUAACUUAAUGUUUUGUGAUUAUUGCUUAAGUUGGAACUCUUUGUCCUUUGUUGCUUGUGGGUAUGUUUUUUGAAACAUUCCAACAUUUUCUUUUUUGUGGAACAUCUACGACAAGGUAUAUGCUUUCUUCAGCCAUGGUUCCUGAGAUUUAAGUCCUCAAUAAGACAUCCUUCUCUUCUCAAUCAUCCUCCUCACUUAAUUAUUCUAUUUCCUUUUAUGUAGAAGAUUCACUCUUCUCUGCGGUAGAUGUUGUUUCUUUGUCUAGUCUGUUAUCCUCAACCAACACAGUCACUUUCAUGACUUACAUGAGUUGCAUAACUUGGAUCCUCUAUAUAAGGUAGUUCGUGUGCUUAAGUAUGUUAGGACAAGUAAUAGUAAGGUGGUGAGAGAAGUUGCUAGAAGUAUUGAGGGGGUAUAGGAAGAAGUAGUAUUUUUUUGCCAUUGAUUUUGGACAAGUGAAUUGAAUAGAGUAAUAUACAGCAUACGACUAAGGUUUCUCUAAUACCAUAAGAAAUACAUAGUACAGAAGUUGAGAGAAAAAUGGAGAAACUUGAUAUAUUAUUGAUUUGUUCAUACAUGGAUUUAUACAUAAUAUUGUAGGAUAAUUAGAGUUAAGAGUUUUAGGUUAUGUACACUUGUAGUACUACACAUCUUGUACACUUACACAUAGACUCUAACUCUAAUUGACUUGAUCAUUAUCUAACUACACAUUCAUCACAUGGUCAUUAGCUACUACACUAAUCAUUAUCUUCAAAAAUAAUAACUAUUAGGAUUCAAUAAGUAAGAGUAAUGAUGGAUGAAACUUGAUGUGAAGGGUGAUGUAUGAUCAGUGAGAAUAAAAAUUAAAAUACUCUAAGGUAAAGCGAGAGGUGGGGGUAACAUAAGUGGAUGAAAGUGAUAUGAAAUAAAUUAUUAUAUAAGUUGUCAUGCUUUUUUGUGAUUUUUAUAUUGCAUUUAUGUUACCUAACCCUGGUCGACCGAUGAUACCUAUCAGUACAUAUUAUUUAUACAGAUACUAGUUUUUCUAUACUCUCUUUGGGGUAUGGUCUAGUCUCAGGAUCAGUAGAUGUUUUAGGUUUGACGUGGAUAAUGAUCUCCACCAGCUUCUUCUCUUCUUAUUCCUAUAUUGGAAGUUUUUGUCUUAUUUUUUCUUUUAUUAUACUAGAAUCUCUUGUACCUGUUUAGACUAGGUCCUUGGGGAAUGUUUUCAUUUUGUAAUCAAAGUUUUGGUAAUUGAUUGAAAUAAAUAAAUACAUUUUAUUAUUUCUUAUUGACUUUCACAUGUAUUUGAAAUGUUUAUUAAGGCUUCUCCUAUAUAGGUGGAUUAGAAUAGGUGGCUACAUAAUUCAAUAAUUUGGGUCAUAACAAUCACUCACAAAAACUGUUGGCACAAGCAAGGUAUGGCAUAGUUGUAUUUCUUUCAAAAUCUCUUUCAUGUCAUGGAGACUUUUUCUAGGAAAGAUCUCUAUUGUUAUAAAUAUUGUAGUGAAUUUAACCUCUACCUAUUAAUAUUUCUCUAAUCAUCUUUAUGGGACUAUGAAUCAUAUGUUUGUGAAAGGGGAAGCAGGAAAAAGGGUCUGGAGAUAUAUUUCCAACUCUUUCGGGGUGAUUCUCACACCAAGCCCAAUUAGAAUGUUACACCAAACAUAGUGGAACACCAAGGUAUGAGGAAGAUAUCGCCUAAAUUUAACAUUGAUAUACCUUGGUGCAUUUCUAUAAGCUGAUAAAGAAACCAAGACAAAAUAUUAUAUGAAAAAGUAAGCUAGGAAAACCUAUGUCUAAUUGGGUGAAACUUAACAUUGAUGGGAGCUACUUACAUAACUCUGAGAAGGCAGGAAUAGAAAGUGUCCUAUUUUUGAAGAAGGUGAUAUCAUUCUGGAUUUUUUUUUCUUAGUGAAAUUCAAUAGUAAUAAUAUGGCUGAGACAGUUGCAGUCAACUUGGGGUGGAUAUGUGCAGCAGAGUUGGAUACGCUUAGCUCGGUCUGGAUCUAGACUAUCAAACUGUUAGUAAGAUACUUCAAAAUAAGUACAAUAAUAACCUCAUAUUUAAGAGGAGAAUAGACAUUAUUUUGAACAAUUUGAGCUUGAUGAAUGUUACUAUCUAGCACAGCUAUAGACAGCUAAAUCAGGUGGUAUACGACUUGGUUAAGCUAGCUUGAAGUCAAGACAUUAGGCUACAUUUUGACUCCUUUCUUGUUUUACCCAAUGUGUCAAAGGAACUUACCAAUUGGAUAUAAGUUUCCACUCUCUAGUUUAAAAUACAAUAUGAUAAAGCUAUUUUUUUUGUUAGUUAAACUUGUGUAGACUUAGGAACUUCUUCGAUAAAUACUAUUCUUUUCUGGUUUAUGUUAACUAGAUUGGUUUAUCAGUCAAGCAUUGUAUUCUGAGGUUUGGUAGAGUCUCCCUCUUUGUAACUUUUUAUAUGAAUAUAACACACUACCUCUGUAGCACCUUGGAAAAAAUUGAAUUAAUUUAACAAUUUAGACAAGUGCAACUUUUGUUCUAUGAAAGAUUAUUCAGUGAUGCAUAUCCUUGAUAGGGAAUUGUACCUUGUGUGACAGUGUAUUGUCGCAAAAGAUGACAAGGAAACUAAAUUAUACUCCCUUAUUUACACUAAGUGCUAAUACCAGAAAGUAAAGGGGUCUACUGUAUAUAUUUUCAUUUAACAAAAAUAUUAGUAAUAAUAAUAUACUUCCUUCGUUUAAAAAAGAAUGAUCUACUUUCCUUUUUAGUCCCUUUAAAAAAGAAUGAUCUCUUUUCCUUUUUAGCAAUACUUUAAUUUCAACUUUUCACAUGGCAUAUUUAGGACCACAAGAUUAAAGAGCAUUUUGGUACAUUUGACACAGCUUUAAUUUAAGACCACAAGAUUAAAAAAUCUUCUUUAUUUUCUUAAACUUUGUGCCAAGUCAAAGUAGGUCAUUCUUCAGUAAAGUGGUUCAAGAAUCAACCUACGUACUUCUUUGUUUCUUUAUUCCUUUGUUUCUUUACUUUGCACCAAGGAAAGAAACAAUUUGAAGAAUCAAUUAGGAAUUAUAAAACUAGGAAGGAAUUCCAUGGAGGAGAGGUAUAUCACUAUGAUCUUAAUCUAGUCUUCAUCCAAUAAUUUCUUAAACUCUAUCAAGAAUUCAAGUUGGGAUUAAUUUUGCAAAAGGUAAUUUUUCCACUCUGUACAUGAAUUUGAUUAUAGAUUAUAUGUUGGAGUGUAAUAUUAGUCAUUAAUUAUUGUUUAAUUUAAUCUUUCCACCACUCUUUGAAAGGGAUUCUUGAGAAAGAGAAAAAUGGGAAAUUGUCACGACCCAACUUCUCAGGUCAUGAUGGUGCCUACCAUAACCUACCAAUAAGCAAGACAACUCAUAGUCCAGAACGACUAGUAAUGGACUACUCAAUAAUAUAAGGAAAUGAAUGGGGAAUAUAUGAAAUAAAGAUCAAUAUAUAGAAGAAUCUCAAAACCUAGUGGUAUCAGUACAAGAGCUGCUAAUAUAAAAAGAGUACAAAAGUGAAAUAUCAAAAGAAAUACAAUGAUACAACGUAUCUUUGAAUACAACUUAGAGACUAGUCUAAUACAUAAAAGAGAGAAAUAAGUAAUGCUCCAGAUAUCAGGAUCUCACUCUAAGUCUCUGAACAAGGACUGCUCUGCAUGAUGCACACAUCAAUGACGAUUACCCAUACUAUAAUCUGUAGGCUGUAGAAGUGUAGUAUGAGUACCAAAUGAAUGGUACUCAAUAGGCUACUGCUAAUUGAGAUCCAAAGAGAAAGUAGAUAUAUACAACAUAUAAACAGAAUAAAAAUUACACCUAAGAGUCCACAAAUCAUAUAACAAGUCAAUGAGAAAAGAAGGAACAAAUAUCCUAUUGAUGUCCAAAAGUCUAACAUGAUAAAACUAAGAAAGUAUCAGGGUGAACUAUCCUAUUCUAGCUGCAUUCAUUAUACAUCAAUGUUAUACUUUAUAUCCCAGGUCAAUAUAUGAAUAAAGAGCGAAUAUAUAUAUAUAUAUAUAUAUAUAUAUAGUAAUAUACAAAGCGAAGAAAUGACUAUACAACAUGAACAACGAAGGAAGGUAUAUAUACAUAUAAACAUGAGGUUAUCACAAACAAUAACCUAUAUCAUCAUAUUCUUAUUUUGAGACCUCAUUAUAAUAGAAUCAGGAUUUAAAUACUAUCAUACUCAGGGUUUCUAAUCCAAGUGGAUAGACAUGAAAUAAUCGUGCAUAGUAAUGCAAUCAUAAAAUAGGAGAGGCCGAAGACAUACCUCAAAUAUCGAUACAAGAUCAAAGACAAAUCUAUCAUAAGCUAGCCAUAAUAAUGAUCAUAACAAUGAUAACAACAAUAUCAAUAACAGCGUGAAUAACUAAUUACUCUAGACAACCAAAUACCUAGUCGAGCCUAUACAUACCCCACCUCCCCGAGCUCAAAAGGUCUAAUCAACAUAUAACAAUAUAAGGCAUAUUCUUCACUCAUAUCUAUGCAACCAUCCCAUACUGACUGAUAGACAUAGAUGCAUACUAGUGAUAGGCAAUGUGCAUAGAGGAAUAAAUGCAAAGUACAUAAUCAAUAUCACAAAUCAUCAUAACUAUCCUAAUUAGGACCAUCAUAAUUGUAAUCAACCUACGGCCUUGCCGGGUAUUAACAUAUCAUCAAUAUAUCCUCCGAUCUUGUCAACUAUCAAUAUCAUCAUAAUAGUAUUCUCCAGUCUUGCCGGGUAUCAAUAUCAUCGUAAUAGUAUCCUCUAGCCUUUCUGGGUAUUAAUAUCAUCACAAUUACCAUUACCGAAUAAGAUACACUAAAAUACUCAUAAGCAUACACAUAUCUCCAUAGAAUAUCUAUCUAGUCAAUACUUCCCAACUAUUCAUUAUUAGUUAACCAACACUUAUUAUAAUAGAAUCACUAGUUCACUAGUUAUCACAUAACCUCUAGUUAUUAGCCUAAAUGUUAUUCUUCACAUAAUCCUUACUCACGGGAUAGCAACUAACCACUAUUUAUUAAUUAGCCAAUAUCUAUCAUCUAGUCAAGGUUCAUUACAAAACCAAAACCGUCAUUUAUUCACUAUUCAUUAUUAUCAACUAAUCAUCUGAUAUCUGUUAAUAAUUACUAGACAACACCUUACUACUUGUAACCUGAUGAUCUUUCAUUAACUGACACCAUUCAUUAACUAACCAGAUUUCAACUAAGCAAUAUUCAUUAACUAAUACGUUAGAUUCCUAGCAAUCAAGUGCUAUAGUCCCCAAAUAGACAACUAGUUACCAUAUAGCUUUGUCGUCUAGCAAGAAGAGUAAUCAUAAGAUCACAUUUAAGCUAUAAUCACAUUAUUUAAAUGGUAUAUAAUCAUGAACAUACCAAAUCUAUGCAUGCCAUCAUCAGUAUUUAAUCAGUGGAAUAGUAAGCAUCAUACUACAUCUUCCUCUGUCCUAUACCAGAGAGAUGUGUAUGCAAACAGAUACAUGUUCAUAUUCAUAAAUUGUCAUCACAUCAUUAUAAUGAUAAAUAGUUCUCGACUAAUGAAUCAAUAUCAUAAAACUUUCCUUGGCUCAUUAAUUUAUUCAAAAUAAUCACAACAUCAUAAUCACGGCCUUAGGCCCAUACACAUAUCCUGUACUCAUAUCAAUAAUCAUAUUUAUAAGCCAUAGAAUAUCUCUAAUUAUCUCACAUGUAGGAGGCAUCUCACAUAUAGGAGGCAUAAUAUCAAUAAGCAUGUAAUCAUCUCUCACUCAAGAGGCCUCUUAUAUCUAGAAGGCAUAAUAUAGAUAGACAUGUGAUCAUCUCUCACAUAAGAGGCAUCUCACAUCUAGAAGGAAUAAUAUAUAUAUAAACAUGUAAUCAUCUAUAGGAUAUUUUAUAUCAAUAGGUCAUACAUCAUGACUGUGAGAAAUAUCACUUCUCUAGGCCAAUUUACAUAUCCAAGAGGAACAUCGUCUCUAUAGGUCAAACAAUCAUGACUAAAGGAAAUAGUAACUCUAUAGGCCAAUUAUCAAGUCUAAGAGAAAUAAGCAUCUCUAUAGGACAAUUAUAAAGUCUAAGAGAAAAUAGCAUCUCUAUAGGUCAAUCAUCAAGUCUAAGGGGAAAUAGCAUCUCCAUAGGUCACAUAAUGUAUCUAGGAGGAAUAUCAUCUCUAAAUGCCCAAUAUCACUUCCAUAAGGAGUAUCAUAAAUGUAACUCAAUAGUCACAAUCCAGGAACAUCAUUACAAGUUACCAAGUUAUGAAGUAACCUUAUUCUAAAGUUUACUAGCCUUAUCUAUGUCUAACAUCCUCACUAAGUCCACAAGACUUAACAUAAGCUUAGGCCUAAGUAGGCUGAACGAUCUCAUUUUUAAUCCACAAUUUUCAUAAUUAGGUAUACUGUGACACAAACUAGGAUAAGGCAUCUAGUUAAUCUUCUAGAUGUCAAGUAAGCCAUAUUCAAGCCUAAGAUAGCAACUUCAACUUGAAACAAGGGUAUUCAAGUCAACUCUACCCAACUUAUAGUUUUAAGACUACCACACUAGCCCAAUAAGGCUAAAUAUACAAAUCAUUCUUCAAAUGCUAAAACCAUAUUCCAAACAUAGCAUUGUAUCAUAUCCAUGCUAUAACUAAUCUAAACUAAAGAGGAAAGGCAAAUCACGAGUGGCUAAUUCCAUUAGCUGGAGUUAUGGGAUCCAUGGAUUAGGGUUUGAUAGGUUACUAGGUAUUUAACGGAUUCAAAGAGUAGUAGGACAUCUUGAAAUUCUAUUAUUUUGACUGAAAUCUAUUGGUCGCAAACAUUAUAUCAUACCUUAGGUUUUAUUUGCUUCUAACAGAGAAAUAGACUAGAGGACGUGAAUUAUCAACAGGGACUCAGAAGCUACCAACCUUCUGUUUAAUGAUUGAUGUUGCAACUAGAUUAAUCUACCUGAGAUAACAUCCUAUUGAAAAUAGAUAAGUUAUCUAAGUUCGAGAGAAUUAGAUAAUAAAUUGGCUGGUGAGGUUGAGAGAUAAGUCAGAUAGUAUCAUAUUCUGGGAUAUUCUGUUGUUUUUACUUACUCUAAGAAUCCCAACCAUUACCUAGUAUCUGUUAACUCCCAAUACCCAUGGUGAACAUAACUCUAGUUUCCCAUUUAUCUUGAUUAUAACUACUGAAGUAUUGAAAGUGAUAUUUGACUCUCUGUGAAACUUAAACCCCUAUCUUUCGAAAAUAGUAAACUACCAGUAAAGUAUUUCAUAAACAAGUUGAAGUUCAUACCUUAUUCCCUGUGGGAUUCGACCCCAACCUAGUUGGGUUUUAUAUUGACAACGAUCGCUUACACCCAUUCAAGAGUGUAAUUUAAGUGUUAUCAAUAUCAGACAUUAUCUAUGAAGAAAAGUAGAUAGAAGCCUACCUUAAGGCCCAACCGCCAAAUCUCACUUCAUACACCAUAUGCUUGUCUUUACUUUACAAUCCUCAAAAUGCCAUCACACUAUCAAAACCAUAAUCUACUCAUCAAUAUGAGUCUAAUGAUACCCAUAUUGCACUAUUAAUCUUCGGGUCAAAAAAUGAUACCAAAAUGCCAAGUGGGUCCCACAUAUGAAAAAUGAGUUUUGAGACCAAUCCAAUGUUCACACAUAAAUAAGGAAUCAUAACCCUCAAAGAAUGGGUGAAAACUAAGCAUACUUUGGGCUAAAAUCAAGCCUUAAACUAAAUUGGGUUUUGGGUAUAAACUAAGAAAUUCAAACAUAAAUUCAAGAAAUUCUUACCUUAAUCUGGAAGAUAAUCAUGAUAGAAGAUGAUAAUUAAGCUCCCAAGUCACCCUCCAUGACCAAUUUUGAGUUAUUACACUCAUUUUGGGGUUUCUAGGUCUAAAUGCUAAAGGAGAAAUGCCCCAAACAUGUCUUGGGGCCUUUACAUAGCCCCUACAAGUACUCAUAUGUUGCAAUCGUAGUCCUACAUGCCGCGAUCAUGCUACUCACGAUCGCACACUCUUGGCCGUGAUCGUGGUUACACCAGAUGACAAUAAACUCAAAAAUAAGAUUUUGACCCUCAGAACUUAUCUAAAAUCCAAAAAACAUGAUCCAAUAGUGAAUUUUAAGUGUAAACCACAUUUCAAAUCCAUUGAAAUCAUCAAAAAUUUCAUCGGAAAUUGAUUAGGUAAAAAGUGGGCCCACACCAUAGUUUUAUCACUUUUUAAAAAAUCCACUCAAUAGCCCAAAAUAAGUCCAGGAGCCUUGGGACCUAAACCAAGGGUCUCUCUAGACUAAAAUCAAUGUUUUGGAUAUGAUAGAAAAGUUGGAUUUACAAUAUGAGGUCAUUUUGACUAAAUAUGGAUCCCACACCCAUUCUUUCUAAUUUUCAACAUUUCGACCAAUAGAUCGAAAUGAGCUAGGGUGCAUUGAGACCCAAACCAAAGGUAUACCUAGAAUAAACUCAAUAUUAUGGAUCUAUUGGCGUAGUCGUAAUUUGCAUAUAAGAUGAUUUCACUAAAGUUUUUGCCCGAUGACCAUUUGGAACCAGCGAAGACUUCAAAAUAAGGAAUUGGCCCUAAAAAAUAAAUGAAUUGUCUGGUAACUGAACGUUGGUCCUAGAAAGUCAUAAAUAACUUGCGGAAGUAAUGGAGAAGCUCAAACGGUGAAGAUAAGUAAAAAUAUCGAAAAUGACCUGAAGGAUCAUUACAGAAAUUUUGACCAAAGAGGAGAUUUUUGGGAUUUCUAUCAAUUGGAUGGAUUUUCCCUUAAAUUGUAUAAGUUGGAAAAGUUAGAAUUCAUUGCAAAUUCUUGUUAAGAAAAUUGAUUGGUUUUGGGCAUAAUCAAAGAUUAUUGGAAUAAAUUGUUAAAUAUACAUACUGGUCAUUGAUAAACAUAUAUGUUUUAAUUAAUUGGCUAGCGGAUAAGUGGAAGUAGUGGUUGGGGGGAUAAGGAUACACUUUCGCGGGUUAAGUUGUUCGAGUCAGAAAGCUAUCAUAGCUAGUUAAUCACUAACGUAUUUAAAGAUAAACCUUCCCUUGCCGCAAGGGCACCACCCUACGUUAUGUACUACUUCUUAUUAAUGUUAACAUAAUUCUCAUGAAAUACAAGAUUAGAAUCUUUAUAUAGCCUUACAUAUCAUUCCCUCGUUGUACAUUUAGGCUUAUAAGUAUCUAUAUUUCCCCUCUUUCUAUUAAGUUUCCAUGAUACUUUCAUAUUAUCAUAAGUUUCUAUGCUUAAAUCCCUUAGGCUACAAUGUAUAUAUAUAUCACUCGUUAAGAGUAAAAGUAAAUAGUAAUAGCAUAGCUACACUUGUAUAUGUUAGCUAAAUAAUUAUUAUCUAAUUCACAUGUUAUAGGCCUUCAAGGCAUUAUUUUAUAAACAUUAAUGACGAGAGGGUACAUAGGUUUGGCUUGGAAUAUCUCUCGACGUGGUUCUAUUUACAGGAUCGAGACCAGACCAUUAUAGUGACCCAACCAUUAGGCAUAUCAUGCACUACUUUUGCUUGACUCGAGCCAAUUUAUGGCAUAUAUGGCCUGCAGGUAGACCCUCAUAGUAAGCCCUUGGGUAAGGCAUACCUGGUUAUAUACCAUGAUUAUAGUUAUACAUAAGGGAUUAUAGUUAUGAGUAUAUGAGCAACAUAUGCUUUAUACUUGCCUCAGAUUGCCUUCGGUAGGCCAUCUUAUGAUUAUUUGUAUUACUGAUAGGAUAAAUAUAUCACUAUGCAAAUUAUAGGCCUUAUAUUAUAAUGAACACCCUUCUAAAUAUUAUAUAAGAUACUACUAAGAUUUGUGCAUAGGUUACCAGUUCAUAUCGUAUAUGUAUUACGUGUAAGCUCAUAUCUUUUUUGCAUUGAUAUUUGACUCAUAUGAGCUUUUCUACUUGUCCAUCUAAUAUUUUGUAUUCUUUCAUACCAGUACAUAUUGUUUAUGUACUGACCUUUUGGGGGAACCAUGUUUAAUUGAUACAAGCUCAGUUCCUCAGGAUAGUAGACAUCCACGUUAGGCCCUAUUACCAUUUUCAGCUGAUAUUUUGGUGAGUUACUUCUCUCUCUAGAGCUAGUCUGUGUCUAGUAUUUUUUAUUAUAUGUACAAAUAUCUAGUUGGGCAUGAUAGGCUCUAUGCCAACUAGUCACUUGCAGUAUAGCAUGUUAAACUGACUAGAGGCUUCAUGGACAUCUUGUUGUAUUGUAUUGUAUAGUUUUUUCAAUAUAACUCCCUCAUGUAUAUAUAUAUAGCUUAUACUGGGUAUCUUGCUCAUUAUUAUCCCAUAAUCUUGCAUAUGUCACCUAGUGCAGCUAAAGUAAGUGUAUAUGGUUUUUUCCCGUCGUUUUCAUUUUGAGGCAUGACAAACUUGGUAUCAUAGCCUAGGUUCAGUUGUCCUAGGGAGUCUAUGAAGCCAUGUUUAGUAGGACCUUACUUAUCGAUGUGUUGUAUGCCACAUUUAUAAUUAAGGGAUUACAUGGACAUUUAGGAAUUUGACCUUUAUUUAUAAUCUAAAUCGUGUAACAGAGCUAAGUCAUAGGAAGUUACUUUUGAGUCCUAUUCUUUUUAUUUGUGAUACAGAUAAUGUCUUCUAUAGAAAGGGAUAAAGUUUCCCAGCAGGACACUAUUGGAACUACUCAGGAGGAAAUCACUACUGGGAAAUAUCCCGUAUUGGUGGACCUAAAUAGGACUCAAGAAAGUUUGUUGGGUUCUGUACUUUUAGGUUCUCAAAUGCCCAGAACAGACAGACAUAAAGGGCUUUUGCAUCUCCAGUGGUACCAACAGCAGUUCCUAUCUUGCCACCAAAUGCCUUACACCAGGAUUUUAGAAGAACAAUACAGUUAUUCAUAUAGUUGAUAGCCGCUCAUGCCCAAAGAAAGAAUGUGGACGUACUUGUUGCUACUCGGGGAGUGGUAGCCAAAUCUAAGAUCAAAUACUUCCUCCAUAUAAAUCCACCAGAAAUCACAGGUUCUAAGCUUGCAGAGGACCCUCAAUAAUUCAUUGAUAAGACUCUUAGAAUUUGUAAGGUGAUACAGGGUAUUGGAUGCAGAUACAGUUGAAUUAGCUGCCUAUUGACCGAAAGAUGUUGUCAUUGAUUUGUAUGAUAUAUAGGUUUCCUCAAGAGGUCAGGAAGCUCCUUCAGUGGUCUGGACAGACUUUGCAAAAGCCUUCAUAGAUCAUUUCAUGCCAUUAGAGCUCAGAGAGGCAAGGGUGGAUGAAUUUCUAUCUUUAAAGUAGGGUAAUAUUAGUGUCAAGGAGUACUUUUUAUGGUUCACAUAAUUGUAUAGAUUUUCUUCAGAGGUGGUUAGCACAUAAACAUCACGGAUUUUUCACUUUAUGAAUGGCCCUGUGGGUCCCUUUAAAGACAUUUUUUUUUAUUGUUGCUAUGAAUAACGAUUUGGAUAUAGCAAGGAUCAUGGUGCAUAAUUUAUAAUUAAAGGAGGAUCAUCAUAAUUGUGAUGUAGAUAGCGAGAGGGAUCAGAGUAAGAGAGCAAGAACGGCCAACCAGUAUAAGGAAAAUAGUGGAGCUUCCACUAGUAGAGGUCCAUAUAGGUAGACCCAGUUAGCUAUGCACUCCAUAUCACUGAUCUAGCUCGAUCUUUGAAGUAUAGGUAUAAGCAGGGUCAUACUUCUAGAGCACCAGACUUACGGCCUUAAAGGAGCAUCAGUCGAGGAUUACUACCUCGACCUAUAUGUAGGCAGUAUGGCCGAGCACAUGGAAAAGAGUGUUGGCAUGGUUCAAAUAUGUGUUAUUGGUGUGGUAUAGAGGGCUAUAUGGUAUGUGAUUGUCCACAACUCAGAGAUAAAGGUAGAGGUGAUCGAUCACAACUUACCUAGUCUGUAUCAGCUACAUCAUUAGUGUCUUUUUUUUUGUUGUCCUCAAGCACCAACAUGUAGACCAAACCAUAUGUAUGCACUAGCUAGUCGGAAAGAUUUAGAGGCAUCUCUAAAUAUGGUGACUUUUCAAAUUAUGUAUAUGCCUUGAUAGAUCCAAGAUCUACCCUGUCAAGAAGUAUAGAAUAGAGUCGGAGUUAUUAUGUAAACCAUUUGCAGUAUCAACUCUAGUAAGAGAUUCUAUUAUUACUAGGUGGGUUUAUUAUGAUUGUGUGGUGAUAGUAUGUGUUGCUACAUUGCCUAAUAUGAUUGAACUUGAAAUGGUCAACUUUGAUGUUAUUAUGGGUAUGGAUUGGCUAUCCUUCUGUUAUGCUAUAACUGAUUGUCGAGCAAAGAUAGCCCAUUUCCACUUCCCAUGAGAGCCAAUAUUAGAGUGGAGAGGUGAUUCUAUGAUACCUAGAGGGAGGUUUAUUUCCUUUCUUAAGGCGCAAAAGCUUAUUUCAAAAGGGUGUUUGUAUCACCUACUCCAAGUAAAAGAUGUUGAGGCUGAAGAACAGGCACCGACUCUCCAAUAUGUACCUGUGGUGAACGAGAACUUAGAUGUUUUUCCUGAUGAACUCCCUAGAUUACAUCAUGUUAGAGAGAUCAAUUUUGGUAUUUAUGUGGAUCCCGGUACGUAACCAAUAUCAAUUCCACCUUAUAUAAUGGCACCUGUAGAACUAAAGAAAUUAAAAGAGCAGUUAAAAUACUUGCUGGAUAAAGGUUUUAUUCAACCCAGUAUAUCACCUUGGGGUGCACCAGUGUUUUUGUACAUAAGAAAGACGAUAUGUUGCAAAUGUGUAUAGAUUACAAGUACCUGAACAAUGUGACAAUAAAGAAUAAGUACACUCUACCCUAAAUAAAUAAUUUAUUUGAUCAAUUAUAGGGAGCUAAAUGCUUUUCAAAGAUCGAUUUGAGGUUCGGUUACCACCAGUUAAGGAUUCAUGAAGUGGAUAUCCCCAAGACAGUCUUUCAAAUAAGAUAUGGGCACUUUGAGUUACCUGUCAUGUCGUUUGACUAACAAAUGCUCCAACAGCCUUCACAAAUAUGAUGAAUAGAAUUUUUAAACCCUUUCUUGAUAUGUACAUGAUUGUAUUUAUAGAUGAUAUUUUGAUAUAUUCUAAAAAUAAAGUUGAGCAUGCAGAUCUACUAUAUAUUGUUUUGAUAAUGAGCAAUUGACAACAAAGGACCAGAUCCCUAGAUCUUCAAGUCUAUACUACAACUGGCACGCGCUUACAUAGUUUUGUCAUCUAGUGUAACAAACUAUCCAGGUACUGCUUGUACUAUUUAGGAUACAUUGUCUAAUUGCAUUUUAACCAUAAUCAUUACUCUACUAUAAAAGUAAAAGAAUCCUUCUCAAUUGGUAGUUUUUGCAGUUUCAUAAGAGUGAAGAGAGAAAAACGCAAAAACUUAAUUUUAGCUUAAGUUCUUAGUCCUUGUGUACUGAUAGUGAAUAUGUUUUUGAAUUUAAUCAUGGUUUGUAAUUGAAUUACUGAUUCUAUAAGAGUAAUGUAUUUCUUUGCUUUGAGAGUGCUUAGGUAGAGUUACCUAAGCUUGAUACUGGUUAGAUUUAAUCAGUGUUGAGAAAGUCUUGGCAGAGUUGUCAAGUUAGGCUUGUAGUAGAGUUAUUACAAGCAGGAGGAACCUAGAGUUAGGUUCAAAAUCAAUUCAACAAUCAAGAGGUUGAUUAUAGUAGAUUUGUGAGAGCUUGUGAGGGAAAGCCAUGUUUUUCCCUUCUUGAGUAAGGGUGUUUCCACGUUACAUCGGUAUGUUCCUUUAUUUUCAACAAUACCUUCCUUAGUGCCUUACUGAUUUAUUUCCUUUGACUGACGUUGAGGGAUCAGGUCCCUCAGGUGGGGUACAAACCCUAAGGUUUCAACAAUUGGUAUCAGAGUAAGUUCACUCUAAAAGGUUCACACUUAGAGUGUUUUGGUUAUUAUGGUUGUUAUCACUGAACAAGGGGUGGGGAGGAAGGAAGCAAAAAGGGAUAUAUCCCUGACAUUGAAGACUUUAGAGUCUGACUCAAGUGAGGAAGACACUGAUAUUGCCCUUCUGGCAACAAGGAUUAUUAAAGCAAUGAAGAAAAGUAGUCAGCUUAGCAAAAGGGAUAGCAAAAUUAAAGGUUGUCAAAAAGGUGGUAGUUCUGAAGAUAUCAUUAUGGAAUGCCCAAUGUGCAAGAUGGAUUAUCAAAAACUACUUAAAAUAAAGGUGAAAAUGAUAAAAAGAAGGAUCAGAAUCCUGAAAAGUCAAGAAGAAAGGAUGUAGCUAGCUAUAUAGUGAACCAGGUCUUGCCUGAAUGGGAAGACUCCUCCAGUAAAUCUGAGAAAGAUAAAGAGUAUGGAGAUGGUUUCAUGCUGAAAAUGAAUGAUAUGAAAAUCACCUCUGGUUCCUUGUUUUCCUUUAUGGAAACUACUGAAUAUAAAGAAGAAAAUGGGGUAGAAAAAAAGAUUGCAACCAAAACAGUUUAUAGACAGUAGUUGUUCAAGGCACAUGACUUUAAGGACUGGUUGUUUUCUCUCCCUCAAGACACUUUAAGGGGAAAGUGUGUAUUUUGGAAAUGCUAAAAAAAGGUAUAUCCAAGGUGUUGGAAAGAUUGGAAAAUCACCUCAUCAUGCAAUAGAAGAUAUGUAUUAUGUGAAUGCCCUUAAGUACAGCCUUCUAAAUGUAUCUCAAAUCUAUGAUAAAGGAAAUGAGGUAAAAUUCUCAUCUGAUGGAUGUACUAUGUCAAGCAUGAAAUCUGGAAGAAUUAUUCUCAAACCCAAAAGGGUCAAAAAUAUGUAUGUAGCUGAUUUGGAGUUUGUGACUGAUGGGGAAUUAACUUGCUAAAGUGUUCAAAGUGAAGAUGUUGACUUAUGGCACAGAAGGCUGGGACAUGUAAGUUCCUCCUUGAUAAAUAUGUUGAUUUCAAAGGACCUGAUCUAUGGCAUGCCAAAUCUAAACUUUCUAGACAACAAAGUUUAUAAUGCUUGUUUUAAAGGUAAACAGACCAGAUCUUCCUUCAAACUAAAGAAGCAGGUGAGAACUUCCAGGCCACUUGAGAAGCUGCACAUGGAUUUAUGUUGACCUAUUAAAGUCUAAAAUAGAGGAGGAGAGAAACAUAUGUUUGUUAUUGUAGAUGACUACUCCAGGUUCACCUGGACAAUAUUUAUAAGAACCAAGGAUGAAACAUGUGAGGUUCUAGUAGCUUGUUCCAAGCAAAUUAAAAUAAAGCUAAAUUGCAAAAUUGCUUAAUUCAGAUCUGAUCAUGGAACUAAAUUUGAGAACUCUCAAGUUGCAAAAUUUUGUGCUGAGCAUAGAAUAAGUCACAACUUUUCUGCUUCUAAAACUUCAUAGAAAAAUGGAGUUGUCUAAAGGAAAAAUAGAACACUCAUAGAGAUUGCUAGAACCACGUUGAUUAAUAGUGGUCUUCAAAAGAGUUUCUGGGUUGAAGCAGUAAAUACUACUUAUGAUGUGACUAAUAGGUGCUUGAUUAGAUCACUUGUGACUAAUACUCCAUAUGAGCUAGUAUUCAAUAGAAAUCCUAAGCUAGACUACUUCAGACCAAUUGGGUGCAAGUGUUUUGUGCUGAACAAUAGCAACAAAGAAUUGGGAAAAUUUGACUCCAAAAGUAAUGAAGUAGUGUUUGUAGGCUAUUCAUCAACAAGAAAGGAUUACAAAGUUUUAAUAAAAGAACUCUGUGUAUUGAAGAAAGUGUUCAUGUGAUCUUUGACGAGUCAAGAAAUAAAAUAAACUUAGGUGAUGGUGAAAGUUCAGAAGCUGGAAAACUUAUUCCUAUUCAAAGGGAUGAUAUUUUUUAAGAUGAUAAUCUAGGGAUAAAUUAUGUUGAUGAGAAUGAUAAAAGUGAUAGUGAUUCUGGAUCUCAGUCACAUAUCCUAGCUCCAGUAGAAGAACAAUCAGAAGAAACUAGUCAGAAUUCAUAGGGACCUGGUCCCAGUGGAAUCAAUCUCAAAAGGCAAAACUGGAGACAUAAAUUCUUUCAUCCCUUUGAGAAUAUGACUAUACCUUUGGAAAUAUGAGUCCAAACUAGAGCUCAAGAAAGAAAUAUUAUGGCAUUUUCAGCCUUUUAUCACAAGUUGAGCCUAAGAAUGUGAAAGAAUCUUUGAAAGAUGCUGAUUGGAUCAAUGCAAUGCAAGAAGAAUUUCAGCAAUUUGAAAGAAGCAAAGUCUGGCAUCUGGUUCUCAGGCUUGUUAACAGAACAAUUAUACCAAAUGGGUGUACAAAAAUAAGCAAGAUGAGAAUGGAACUAGUAACAAAAACAAAGCAAUUCGGGUUGUUCAAGGUUAUAACUAGGAAAAAAGGAUUAACUAUGAUGAGACUUUUGCCAUUGUAGCAAGAAUAGAGGCAAUCAGAAUUACUGCUGCAUUUGUUGCAUAUAUGGGAUUCAAACUAUUUCAAAUGGAUGGCAAAAGAGCCUUUCUGAAUAGAAAUCUUAAGGAAGAAGUCUAUGUCAAACAACCACCAAGUUUUGAAGAUAUAAAUUUUCCUCAUCAUGUGCUUAAAUUGGACAAAGCUUUUUAUGGUUUGAAGCAAGCACCAAGGGACUGGUAUGAAAGACUCUCAAAGUUUCUCUUGUAAAAUGACUUCAAAAGAGGGAAAAUAGAUAAUACUCUAUUUUUAAAGACUAAAGGUGGCAGCUAACUAAUUGUUCAAAUAUAUGUUAUGAGUUCGAGGCAAACCCAUCACGAAGUCCAUAUUUACAACUUCCCACUUCCAGGUAGGAAUACUGAACUCCUGCAUGGACCAACUAGGCUUCUGAUGCUCUAUCUUAACCUUCUGACAUGUAGAGCACUUAGCCAUAAAUUUUGCAAUAUCUUUUUUCAUCCCGCUCCACCAAUAGAUCUCCCGCAAGUCAUGGUACAUCUUUAUGGACCCUAAAUGAAUAGAGUAGUGAACACCAUGCGCUUCUGUAAGAAUUCACUGCCUUAUAUUAUCUACGUCUGAAACACAAAGACGACCCUGACAAUGAAGAACAGCACCUCCCCAUUAGGAGAAAACCUCUAUUUUCUGGUCCUAAACUGACUCUUUUAACUUGAUAAGACUGGGAUCCCUAUCUUGCUUUUCUUUCACCUCAGAAACUAGAGAUAAUUCUAAACUACUCUGAACACAUAUACCACCCUCUGAAGAAUCGACUAAGAGAACACCUGGUCUAGCAAGUUGGUGUACUUCUUGAGCUAACUUCUUCUUACCAUCCUCAACAUGAGAAAAACUACCCAUAGAGAGUCUACUGAGAGCGUCAGCCACUACAUUGGCCUUGCUCGGAUGAUAGAGGACACUCAUGUCAUAAUAUUUCAAGAGCUCUAACCACCUUCUCUGACAAAGAUUGAGAUCUUUCUGAGAAAAGACAUACUGAAGGCUCUUAUGAUCUGUGAAGACUUCUACAUGAACACCAUAUAAAUAAUGCCUCCAAAUCUUUAAGGCAAUUACUACGGCUGCUAAUUUAAGAUCAUGAGUAGGAUAAUUCUUCUCAUGGGGUUUAAGAUAUAUGGAGGCAUAGGCUAUGACCUUACCAUGCUACAUGAGGACACAACUUAAACCAACUCUAGAUGCAUCACAAUACUCUACGAAAUUGUCUGAACUAUCUGAAAGAGCUAAGACUGAAGAUGAGGUGAGUCGAGUCUUUAAUUCCUGAAAACUCUUCUCACAAGGAUCUAACCACUGGAACUUAACUUUCUACUGAUUCAAUGUGGACAUAGGGUAUACAAUGGAUGAAAAUCCUUUAACAAACCGUCUAUAAUAUCCAGCCAAAUCCAAGAAACUCCUGAAAUCUGAUGGACAAAUAGGGAGAGGCCAGCUUCUUACCACUUUAGUCUUUUGAGGAUCUAUACUAGCGCCAUCAUCGGAAACGAUAUGACCAAGGAAUGCUACUGACCUUAGAUAAAAGUUGAACUUACUAAAUUUGGUGAAUAACUGAUGAUUUUUGAGAGUCUAAAGUGCUAUUUUGAGAUGGUCUGCAUGAUCUUGCUCAAUGCGGGAAUAGACCAGAAUAUCAUCUAUGAAGACUAUGACAAAUAUAUCCAAGUACGGAUUGAACACACGGUUCAUAAAGUCCAUGAAAGUGGCUGGGGCAUUGGUCAGACCAAAUGAUAUGACUUGAAAUUCAAAGUGACCAUACCGCGUAUGAAAAGCUAUCUUCAAGAUGUCACAUUCUCUAACUCUAAGCUGAUGAUAUCCGGAUCUGAGGUCUAUCUUAGAGAAAUAACUGGCACCCUAAAGUUGGUCAAACAAGUCAUCAAUUCUAGGAAGAGGAUACUUGUUAUUGAUCGUGACUUUAUUGAGUUGACAGUAAUCUAUACACAUUCUGAGUGAACUAUCUUUCUUGCGCACGAAUAAGACUGGUGCGCCCUAUGGGGAAAUAUUGGGUCUGAUGAAUCCCUUAUCUAAGAGAUCUUUUAACUAAUCUUUUAGUUAUUUGAGUUCUGUUGGUGCCAUUCUGUAUGGAAGAAUAGAGAUAGGUUGAGUGUCCGAAAGAAGAUCAAUACCAAAGUCUAUUUCCCUUUCAGGAGGAAUUCCUGGAAGAUCUUUGGGAAAGACAUUUGAAUAUUCAUUCACUACUGGGAUAGAUUCGAGACUGGGAGCCUCGGAACUAGAAUCUCUAACAUGAACUAGAUGAUAAAUACAUCCCUUAGAUAUUAUUUUCCUUGGUCGAAGGUAGGAAAUAUGUUGACCUCUGAACACUGAAGUACUACCCCUCCACUCAAGGAUGGGUUCAUUUGGGAACUAAAACCAAACUAUUCUAUUUAUACAUUCGACUGUGGCAUAGAAGGAACGAAGCCAAUCCAUGCUAAGAAUGACAUCAAAAUCAGUCAUCUCUAAUUUGACUAAGUCUGCUGAAGUGACUAUCUAAAAUAUCAUAACCGAGCAGUUCCUGUAUACCGCUAGGCUAUGAUGGUUUUACCCAUUAGGGUAGAGACUGAAAAGAGAUCUGUUAGAAUUUUGGGACUGAUUUCAAAAUCAACUGCUAUAUAAGGAGUAACAAAAGACAAGGAAGCUCCUAUAUCUAUCAAAGCAUAAACAUGCACAUGAAAGAUCUGUAACAUACCAGUAACUACAUCAAGAGAACUUUCCUAAUCUUAUCGAGUAUAAAGAGCAUAAAGAUAAUUUGGGCGUUGCCUACUAGUAGCACUAAAAGUGGCACUCUGCUAAUUUGGGCGACCGAACUAAGCUGAAGAGCUAUUCUAUUGAACCUGAGGACCUGGCUAUGGAAAGUCUCUAACUCUAUGGCAUGGCUUGCCACAACCAAAUCAAAUGCCACUACCUGCUCUACACACACCCUGAUGGUGCUUACCACAAGCCCAACAAAGAGAAUAGGAGUGGGCACUACUAACACUGCCCUAGGUCUUAGAGCCUGGCGCUCUAUCUUUGUUACCCUCUCUAAACUUAGGAACUGGAGCACUGGCUGUAGAGAGAGAUAGAACUGAUGACUUAGGACAAGACAGAGAAUAGUUUUCUCUUUCUGAUUUAGGCUGACUAAAAUUGAAGCUACCUGUCCUAGCUUUCUUAUUCUGUUUUCCUCUCUGCUUAAUUUUUUGCUCUUCUAUCUGAUGAGCAUGGGUCAUAAGUCUAGCUAAGGUCAUGUCACUAAUAAGCAUGGAGGAUCUGCACUCAUUAACCACACUGUCAUUCACCCCUGAAGCGAACUUACUCAUCUUUGAUCUACUAUCUCCAACCACUUGAGGGGCAUACCUGGCUAAUUGAGUAAACUUAAAAGAAUACUCUUUUACUGUCAUAUUGCCCUGCCUUAGGUUGAUGAACUCUAGCACCUUGGCUUCUCUAAGCUCUUGGGGAAAGAAUCUAAGAAAGCAGUGACAAACUCCUCCUACUCUACAGGACCUGCAUCAUCUGAUCUUUUGGACUUCCACUGUUUGAACCUAGCAUGAGCCACAUCCUGCAACUGGUAUGCAGCUAGUUCAGCACUCUUAAUAGUAGUCAUCCCCAUGGCAUCUAUCUCUUUUUAAACUUGAUCUAAGAAUUUCUAAGGGUCUUCAUCUAACUUAGACCCAAGAAAGGUUGGACAAUUUAUUCGGGUGAAGUCCUAAAUUCUAGCUGCGGCUGAGUUGGCCACUGGGUUGGCCGGGAUAAAUGUUGAUUAUUCAUUAUGAGCAGCGAAUGAUUGAUCAAGAUUGGUAAAUGUGGUCCUGAACUCCGCAUGAGAAACAUGAUUUCCCACUCUUGCUCAAUCAGGACCGCAUUUACCACUUCUUUGGGCUGAGGGGCUGACUGAUUUCUUCUCUUAGGAGGCAUGUUCUGAAAUAUAUAGAAGAAGCGGAUUAGACUGAGAGACUGACUUGUGAUUAUGAUCACUGGCAAGACAUGAAUAUUGAAAGAGGGGAAACUAUUCUUAAAACAUCUCAUAGCCUCUUGCACAUAAAUGUGGCAUGCAACACACCCAUGUACAAGACUCUACUAGAUGCGGCUUUCAGACUUCCUAGGACUCUAUUGAACCUUAGGCUCUGAUAUCAAGUUUGUAACAACCCGAUUUUCUGAAACAAAAUGCUACACGGUGCUUAUGACCCCGAGGGACCACAAGCUAACCCAUGACUAAUAUCUCUACCUGUAUACUGCAUAAGAUAACUUAAUAAUGUGAAAACAUGCACUAAAAGGCCAUAAGGUUCGAUCAUGAACAUGAUUGAAUGAUAUAACAUUUGUAUGGGGUAAUAGAAUACCUAAAACAAAAUUGAAAAUACUGAAGUCUGAACAUGAUAGUCUGUAUCUAGUCUGCAUCUAGUCUAAAAGCCUCUAUUUUUUGAAAAAUUUGAAUAAGGAAUUGAUGGGACAUGUCCCCAACUAACUUUAACUAAUAAGCUAAUAAAUGAGAUACUAGAAAAUCAUUAUGUCCUCAAAGGAUGAGGAUUCACUUCUACUCUGACUGUUGAAUCUAGAAUCUACUGCUAAUCUAAAACUCGUGUCUCUGAACCUAUGGUGUAACAUAAAAAAAAAAAAGCACCAUAGCACGAAUGUGUCAGUACAUAUUUACCAAGUAUACAUAUCAGUUAGGCUAUAUACAAUGGUUCACAUGUAUGAAUAAUACUAAUUGACUGUCUACCAUGAAUGUGAGAAUACAUGCAUAAAUACAUAACUAUAACUGACAAUGUGAUUUCUUGAUUUCUGAGUCUGUAUACUGAUAACAUGACAUGCUAGUAACUGAUAUGACUGAUAACAUGAAGGACUAUAUCUAAAUAAAGUUGAUAGUAUGGGAGACUAUAUCUUAGUAUAACUGAUAACGUGCGUAACUGUAGCUGACAGUCCUGAAUCUAGUGGAACUAUCUGAGUUCUGUACUAUACCUGAGUGGACUAUAUCUGAUAGUCCUAAAAUUUGAAGAACUAUUUGAGUUUUAUUACUGAGACUAAUUAACUAUAGCUGAUAGUCCUAAUUCUGUAACAUGAAACUAUGGGAAGUAGUAUCUAACUGACAUGCUCCAAAGGUACUAUAAAGCUGAGCUGGGGUCCAAUCUAUGCCCUGAUUGGAAGGGUCUCAAUACCGCACCACUAGUAAGGACAACAUGAGUAACCCUUAUAUAAUAGGUAACUCUAGCAAGAACGGUAGGAACCCUCACAAAAUAGGUUAAGCCACCUUAUCUACCCUCAUAUAGCAGGAUACGAUGUCUCAACCUAUGCUGGCGACAUAGUUCUGGAAUGCAAGGAAUGCUUCUAUGAAUCACACUCUCGUAAAACAGGUAAGUCCCUAUCCUUGGGUUCACUCGGUGCUAAUUCCUACUCCCAUUAGUCACCGUCUGGGCUAGCACCUGGAAAGCUGCUCAAAACUCUAUAUGUUACACACUCUUAUUUUCAGGAUCUACUGGCUGAGAGGGUUGAUCAUCAACCCUAUGGACAAAGUCUCUGUGAGGAGACAUACUCUAUAAAUGAAAGAAUGAACUGGAUUAAACUGAGGAUCAACAUGAGCUCAUGGUCACUUACACGAAAUAAUCACUGAAAGAAGAGUAACUUCUCCUAAGAACAUCCUGUAGCCACUUGUACAUAAAUGUAGCGCGUUACACACCCUUGUACAAGACUCUACUAGAUGCGGCUUUUUAGACUCCCUAGGAUACUCUUGAACCUUAGGCUCUAAUACCAAGUUUGUAACACCCUGAGAUCCCAUCCCAUAAUGUCACACGAUACUUAUGGACCCGUAGGACCACAAGCUAACCCUUUUCUGAUAUCUGUACCUGUACACUGCAUAAUAUCUUAAAUAAAGGCAGAAACUUGCUAUAAGGUUCAACACAUCUAUACAUACUCAAACCUAAAAAUUAAAUACUAAUACAUCCAUCUGAAAAGCCUCUGAACUGCCUGAACUAUGGAGUUGAUGGGACAGGUCCCCAACUAACUCCGUCAACUGAAAAUAAACAAAAUCUGAAACAAUAAUAGUAAACUGAGAUUCAUCCUCGAAAGAAAAGGACUCACUACUACUGCUGCUGAUGGGGACUGAACUGCUGAGGAUAAUCUGGAUCCUGUGUCUCUGAACCUAUGGUGUCAAAUAAAACACCAUAGCGUAAAUGCGUCAGUACAGAAAUGUACCGAGUAUGUAGAUGAAGUAGGCUAAUGCAAGGGCUCAUGGAUGCCCAAUAUCUAAACUGAAUAAUCAUUAAAGAUGCCACAUGAGAACACACACAUGAAUACACAGAACAUUAAAACAAUCAUCGCAACUCUAGAAAAUGAAACUCGCAUACCACUUUACUACAGACUAAAAUUACUACUGACACUGAAAUACUUAAUCACUGACUUCUCUGAUACUGAUAACUGAGGAUCUGGAUGUGCUUAGAUCAAGGACUGUACUCUAAGCUUACUGCUUUCGACUGAAAUAAUUAGAGAUCAACUUUGCUAACAGAUUAUUCUGGAAGCGAUUAUUAAUGAUAAAAAGUAUGAUUAUAUCUAAUCUGACAACAAGAAUAUUUAAUAGAAAUCAGAUACUGUGAUCAAGCCUGUCUGGUGAUAUAUCUCUAAAUAUAAUAUCAAUCAACUGUAUAUGUGACCAAGUCUAUCUAUCAGGAUGGUCCAUGAAUCAAUGGAACUAUUUGAGUUCCUCAUAAAGAUAGAUGAUUCUAUCUGAUAGUCCUAAUUUCUGAAGAUUGAUUCUAAAUCUGAAACUGAAACUGUGGGAAGUAGUUACUUAACCGACAUUCCCCAACCUACCAUAGGUGGGGUCUAACCUCUACCCUCGAUUGGAAGGGUGCCAAUACCAUGCCACGGGUAAAGACAUUAUCUUUAUGUGCAUUAUCUUUAUGUGACCCUCAUCUAUCAGGUGCUCAAACAAGAAUGGUGGAGCCCUCAUCCAACAGGUCAAGCCACCUCAUCGACCCUCAUCUAAUAGGUAUGAUGUCUCUCAUAUACCCUCAACUAGUAGGUAUGAUGUCUCAACCUACGUUGUCUACAUAGUUCUAGGGCACAAAGAUUGCAUCUUAGAAUCACACCCUCUACUAAUAGGUGAGUUCCCAUCCUUCAUCUCACUCGGUGCUAGUUUCUACUCCCAACUGAAAGACUCUGAUUGAAUUCUUAACUGAGCACAACUGAACUAAAUCUGAUACUGAUUAUAUUUCUCAAAAGAUCUAACUGAGUUACGCUAAGAUUACUUAGUUUCGUAUCUGACGAAAAAGACAUCGAAUCAUAGUAUCUGACUGACGGUAUAGAGCUUGAAUAGAUUACUCAAAUCACUUCUGCGAUUAGAAUUGAAUCGCUUGAAUACUAUUAGAUCUAAGCUAAUUAUGGGACUAAGGCUAGAUUACUAGCGAUACAGAGAUUACAGAGAUUUCUGAGAUUACUGAACUUUCUUAAGUUCCGCACUUGUCUGAGGAUACAAAGUUCUAUAGUUCACUGAGUUCUGAGAAUCAUGGCUCAACUUGAAUUAUCGAGAAACUGACACGAGUUCUAGACAAUAGCUCUAUUUUUGGGUAUAAAUACCCCCAGGACUCGAUAGCAUAAAAGUAAGCAUCAUUAUUCAUUCAUCAUCACAAGCAUUCAUGCAUCAUCACAAUCAUUCAACCAUCUUCACAAGUAAUUCAGGAAUCAUGCCAUAUGUUCAUUUCCACAGUCAUUAAACAUCACCUCAAGCAUUUAAGGAUCUCAAAUGUCUAUUCAUUAUCACAGUCGCUAAGGAGUCACUUUAAGCAUCUCGAAAUCAUAAUCAUAUAAUAACAUAGGGGAAAUAUGCUACUAUAUUGUACUCCCUUCAACAAGGUUUUACCUCAGCUAUUUCAUACCUAUAUCGAUCUUGACAUGUGUUUAGAUAUCCCAUGGCUUGGGGAGACUUCAUACUAUCAAGCCAUAACUUACUUGCUAACCAAUUGGCAUGUAUUAAAAGCUUAACAUAUAUCAAGAACACAUAAUUAGGAGAAUUUACAACCAUCAUAUCUCAAAUUGUUCACUAGGGCCUUUCAACAACCACUAGACAUGACCGAUUUUACACUUACUUGGGAAUAUCAUGCUAUCUUAGCACAUUUCACUCACUAAGGCAUUUUAUGAAACACUAGGCAUGCAUGGACUAGCUCACAAUUUGGGAUUUUCUAUUCAACAUACUAUAGUGGACCUUAUGCUUCACCUAAUAUCUUUAUCAAACCUAUGGGGAACGUUAUUCACUUAUUCAACCAUUUCUACACCUAAAAGUCAUGAACACAUCACAUGAAAAAACAACUUCAAGAGGGUCUAUCACAAACAUCACAUUAAUUUCACAUACUAGGGUCAAAGCUCAUAAAUUUUGUAGGCAAACAUAAAUCAAAACUUAACAACACAUUAAACAUCUAUUUCAACUCAUACAAAUCAUUAACAACUCAUAAACAUAAAAAUCUUUUAGUUUUAAAAAGGGAUUUUGAGCUUCUUGGAUGAAAGGGACCCAAGAAUCAACAUCUACAUACCUUAACCUUUGAAAUUGGAUGAACUUUAGUGCUUGAAACUUUAUCCACACUUAAAAUAAAUAAAUUCUUGAAGCCUACACUAUGAGGAACUUGAUUCUUGAAGAAACCUUGAAGAAUUUACGGAUGAAUUUUUGAAGAUUAGGGUUCUUGCAUAAAACCCUAGAUAUUCUUGAGAGAAUUGCAAAAGAAAAUAAUUGAAUUAGGGUUUGAAUGAGGGUUCCUCAUAUUUAUAGAGGCUCAAAAAAUAUGGAAAAUGACCAAAAUAUCCUUGGAAAAAUUCCCUUGAAUUGCCGAAAAAAUAUACUUGACGCCAUCCGUGGUAGGCCGUCAGGUCCGUGAUAGGCCGUCACGAAUGGUCAUCACAAAAGGGGUCCAAAUUCUUGAUUUUCUGCCCAGGGCUGACGACAUCACUAGAAUGUGACGACAUCGUCAAAAAGGUCGUCAAAAACGUGAUAGCCCGUCAGAAACGUCAUCACUUUUUUCCAGCUUGACAUUCUAGAAUAAAAUGCGGAGAACUCUUUGCUCUGAUAUCGGAUUUAGGCGAAAUUGGUAUCCUUGGAAAUCUAAUUCAAAGAUCUUUCAUUUGAUAUAUAGAAAUCCACCCAGUUCUUCAUAUACAUUAAUUUAUGGUCGAUUGAAGUUGACCCAAAUUUUUAUAGUCACUAAAACUUGAAUGAUAGGAAAGCCUUCAACUCGACCUUGAGUUAGGGGACCUCUAUGAUCUUAAUCCAUGCUCUAAUAGAUUCCCAUACGAUUCAAAGUAUUUCAUACUUGGGAGGAUAUUUUUGAAACAUUUUGACUCGAAUUUUUGCUUUACCAAAUAUGCUCUAAGGCUCAGACUGGAAGUGGAUUUUGCGGGGCAUUACAUAUCUCCCCCUUGAGAACAUUUGUCCUCGAAUGUCGCUUAAUAGACUGAAAUUAUAGAUAAAUAGAAAUUACUCAAGAAAUGGAAACAUCUCAGAUCAGGACUACACUACUGGAAUGACUGGCAUAUAGAGUUCUCACACUGGGCAUGCAUAUAUGAUGCAUGGAAUACUCUACUGAUGAUACUCAUAGCUGAAUUCUCAUAAUACACAUGCAUAUCUGAUGCAUAGACUCAUAACUAGGAUGAUCUCAUGAAUACACGACUGAACACACGUUGACAAGCUAAACUCUUUCUACUAAAUGCACAUAUCUAAUGCAUGAAUGUCCGGCUAAGUUGACUUUUGAAAGCAGGACUUGACAAUGCAACAAUGAUUGAUGCUAACUUUAUAAGAAAAAUCUGAACAUACAUCGAGCUGAAUCUAAUGGCAUGAAACAUCAUAAUACCAUGGGGUAUCUCCCCCUUGGGACUCUAUGUCCCUCUAAACACACUUCAGUAAAAUAGUAGAGCGGUGCACGGGGCACCUCCAGACUGGGUCAUAAUUGACCGAUCAAGAUCUAAAACUUAUACAUGACUCAUGCUAACAUAAAAGCUCAAAAUAAGAGCAAAGGAUCUAUUAAUGCAUAACAUAAUAAUGAAGGGCUCAUAACAUACCCGGGUUAAUUUUAUGGGAUCUUUCCGAACAAAGGCGAUCCUGAAGUGCAUACAAUCUAUUAUGAGCUGAAGGAUGACUAUGCUGACUUUGGGGACCUGGCUUAGACAGUCUCAAACUUUGUGACCGGUCUCUCCACAUUUAAAGAACACAUCACUACCGGCUAUACAUACACCCUUAUGAUUCUUACCACAUUCUUCACAUAACGGGUAGGUACGAACACCACUAGUACUACUCUGGGCUUUAGAUCUUGGUGCUUUCUCAAAUCUGACACCCCCAAAUGCAGGUGCGAGUACACUAGCUGAAGAUGGAGAUGGAACUAAAAAUCUCUGACCAUACUGAGAACUAAUACCACCUUGAGACCCUGACUAUGAGAAACCAUGACUAUCUAUCUUAGCUCUCUUACUCACUCUCCCUCUCUCCUUCAUCUUAUCUGCCUCAAUCUGUUGCUCAUGAAUCAUUAGCCUAGAAAGAUCCAUAUCACUAUUGAUCAUGGCAGCUCUACACUCUUUUAACACAUCACUUGAUACCCCAAUCAAAAACUUACUCAUACUUGCUCUAGGGUCAGCUAUCAAGUCAGGAGCAUACUUAGCUAAUUGGUUAAACUUAAGACAAUAUUCUUUCACUAUCAUGGAGCCUUGCCUUAGGUUCAUAAACUCUUCUACCUUAGCUUCUCUUAUUUAUAGUGGGAAAAACCUAUCUAGAAAGGUACUCUAAAACUCUAGCCAAGUCACGGGAGCUGCAUUCUCCCCUCUACAUUUCUCCCACAUCACUACCCAAUGAGGAGCAGUAUCUUUAAACCUAUAAGAUUCUAACUCAACACUCUCCUCCUCUGACACAUGCAUAAUCUGGGUGAUCUUCUUCACCACCUCAAUAAACAACUGCGGAUCCUCACCUACUACUAACCCAAAGAAUUCGGGCGGGUUCAUUUUCAUAAAGCUUCUAAUCCUGUUUACGCCAAAAUUCCAAUCUUGCUAAGGUAGGACUGCAGCCUGAUAGUUGCCAUGAAUAUUAGUCACCGCCUGGGCUAGCUCCUGGAAAGCUGCUCAAAACUCUACAUGUAACACACUCUUAUUUUCAGGAUCUACUGGCUGAGGGGGCUGAUCAUCAACUCUAUGGACAAAGUCUCUGUGAGGAGGCAUACUCUGUAAAUGAAAGAAGGAAAAUAAUCACCUAAAGAAGAGGAACUGCUCCUAAGAACAUCUUGUAGCCUUUUGUACAUAAAUGUGGUGCACUAUACACCCAUGUACAAGACUCUACUAGAUGCGACUUUUCAGACUCCCUAGGAUACUCUUGAACCUUAGGCUCUGAUACCAAGUUUAUAACACCCCGAGAUCCCAUCUCGAGAUGUCAUACGGUGCUUAUGGACCUGAAGGACCAUAAGUUUACCCUUUUCGAAUAUCUGUACCUGUACACUACAUAAUAUCUAAAAUAAAUGUAGAAACUUGCCAUAAGGUUCAACACAUCUAUAUAUACUCAAAACUGAAUACUGAAUACUAAUACAUCCGUCUGAAAAGCCUCUAAAUUGUCUGAACUGUGGAGUUGAUGGGACGGGUCCCCAACUAACUCCAUCAACUGAAAAUAAACAAAAUCUAAAAUAAUAAUAGUAAACUGAGAUCCAUCCUCAAAAGAAGAGGACUCACUACUACUGCUACUGAUGGGGACUGAACUAUUGAGGAUAAUCUGGAUCCUAUGCCUCUGAACCUAUGGUGUCAAAUAAAACACCAUAGCGCAAAUGCGUUAGUACAGGAAUAUACCGAGUAUAUAGAUAAGGUAGGCUAAUGCAAGGGCUCAUGCAUGCAUAAUAUCUAAACUGAAUAAUCAUAAAAGAUGUCGCAUGAGAACACAUUCAUGAAUGCACAGAACAUGAACACAAUUAUCGGAACUCUAGAUACUGAAACUCGCAUACCACUUUACUACAGACUGAACUCAUUACUGAUAUUGAGAUACUGAAUCACUAACUCUUCUGAUACAGAUAACUGAAGAUCUGGAUGUGCUUACAUCAAGGACAAUACUUUAAUCUUACUGCUUUCGAUUGACAGAAUUAGAGAUCAACUUUGCUAACAGAUUAUUCUAGAAGUGAUUAUUAAUGAUAAAAAGUAUGAUUAUAUCUAAAUAUGACGACAAGAAUAUUUAAUAAAAAUUUGAUACUGUGAUCAAGCCUGUCUUGAAGCAUAUCUCUGAAUAUGAUAUUAAUCAACUGUAUAUAUGACCAAUCCUAUCUGUCGAAAUGGUCCAUAAAUCAACAGAACUAUCUGAGUUCCUCAUAAAGAUAGAUGAUUGUAUCUGAUAGUCCUAAUUUCUGAUGAUUGAUUCUUAAAUUAAGACUGAAUCUGAAACUAAAACUGUGGGAAGUUGUCACUUAACUGACAUACCCCAACCUACUACAGGUGGGCUCCAACCUCUACUCCCGAUUGGGAGGAUGCCAAUACUGUGCCAUAGGUAAAGACAUUAUCUUUAUUUGCAUUAUCUUUAUCUGACCCUCAUCUAUCAGGUGCUCAAACGAGAAUAGUGGAGCCCUAAUCUAACAGGUCAAGCCACAUCAUCUACCCUCAUCUAACAGGUAUGAUGUCUCUCAUCUACCC